AGAACGAACGCUGGCGGCGUGGAUAAGACAUGCAAGUCGAACGCGACUUAUCGUGUUAGCAAUAACAUGGUAAGUUGAGUGGCGAAAGGGUGCGUAACACGUGGGAAAUUACCAAGAAGUGGGGAAUAGCUCGACGAAAGUCGAAUUAAUACCGCAUAUGAUCGCAAGAUCAAAGUCGGGGACCGCAAGGCCUGACGCUUUUUGAGAUGCCCGCGGCCCAUCAGCUAGUUGGUGAGGUAAAAGCUCACCAAGGCUAUGACGGGUAGCUGGUCUGAGAGGACGACCAGCCACACUGGAACUGAGACACGGUCCAGACACCUACGGGUGGCAGCAGUCGAGAAUUUUUCACAAUGGAC
rnacentral:rRNA from 1 species